rnacentral:rRNA from 1 species
CACCGCGGUUAUACGAGAGGCUCAAAUUGAUAUUUUACGGCGUAAAGGGUGAUUAGAGAUAAACAAAACUAAAGCCAAAUACUUCCUAAGCUGUUAUACGCUAAUAGAAGCACGAAGCCCUGCAACGAAAGUGGCCUUAACUACUCUUGAACUCACGACUAUUAAGAAA